rnacentral:rRNA from 1 species
GACGAACGCUGGCGGCGUGCUUAACACAUGCAAGUCGAACGGAAAGGCCCUGCUUUUGUGGGGUGCUCGAGUGGCGAACGGGUGAGUAACACGUGAGUAACCUGCCCUUGACUUUGGGAUAACUUCAGGAAACUGGGGCUAAUACCGGAUAGGAGCUCCUGCUGCAGGGUGGGGGUUGGAAAGUUUCGGCGGUUGGGGAUGGACUCGCGGCUUAUCAGCUUGUUGGUGGGGUAGUGGCUUACCAAGGCUUGGACGGGUAGCCGGCCUGAGCGGGUGACCGGCCUCAUUGGGACUGGGAUACGGACCAGACUCCUACGGGAGGCAGCAGUGGGGAAUAUUGCACAAUGGGCGGAAGCCUGAUGCAGCAACGCCGCGUGCGGGAUGACGGCCUUCGGGUUGUAAACCGCUUUCGCCUGUGACGAAGCGUGAGUGACGGUAAUGGGUAAAGAAGCACCGGCUAACUACGUG